rnacentral:lncRNA from 1 species
ACACAAAACUAGCCAGUACACCUUCCAUUCUGAGAAAUGAUUACGAAGAGAAGAGUUUUGUGAAGACUUGAGAUUUGAAUCAUUCUCAGCCUCAGAGAAGAUUCUUAUUGCGGAAGAUAGUGACUAAUGCAGAAGUUAAUAACUGGCCUCUGAACAUGACGUGGCUAUUGCAUACAUGAUCUCAAAGCAGCUGUUAUUACCAGGAUAAGACCACAAGAUCUUCAGAAGAUAAAGAGUUACACAUAUCAGAACGAAUGAAAGAGAAAAUCGGAAGACUAUCUGUCCAGAUGAAGAGCUAGUAGCUGUUAAUGUCUGCUAAAGAAGGGGAGCUACUUUACUCUGUGAGAGAAGAAAAAUCAAGCCAUAAGAAUAAAAGACAGACAAGGGAUGGACUAUUGUACCGUCUCAGCUAAACCAACCAACUAUAAAAUUAGGCUGCCGUUUUCAGAAAGCCGCUCUCGGGAGUUUACCUCCCACUGGCCCUGCUUACACUGCUGCUGGAGGAUGAUCUUCAUGAAGUCAGAGGUGCGCACCAACUUAGAGGAAGACAUAGGAAACGAAUAGAGAACCCCCACAGACAAACCCCCAGAAAGGCCUCCCACAGAACCAUCUGCUUAAAUUUGGCAAAACUUUGGCAAAGAAGAGCACUGGCGAGUAAUGAUGUAUUAGCGAUUCGUUGUUUUCCGUAAACAGCGGUCAUUAACCAGCAUCUAAACUUAACUAACUCUCCAAUCUCAGAGUCAAGUGUUGUUGGCACUUAGAACACACUUAGAACUGUGCUACCUUCAGAAGCAAAGUUUGUUUCUGACCUCUACUCUUUACUCUUCUAUCUUUCCUCUUGUUCUCUCUCAAUCUCUCUCUCUCUCUCUCUCUCUCUCUCUCUCUCUCUCUCAGGAGGUUAUAAACAGAAGAAUAACUUCUACUUCUGAAAACAAUUUUCAAUACACACACAUGAUACUAGAUAUCUUUGGAGCAUCUUCGACUUGUGUCAGAUGUAUGGAAAAAAUUACCUUUUCCUCAGUUUUGAUAAAAACUUAAAAUUUCUCUAAAAGAAUUAAAAGGAACCUAAGAGCUAGAUUUUAUUGUUUUAAUUUAAUUUAAUUUAUUUUAUCUUCCUUCCUUUAAAUUUGGAUUAAUUUGCAUGGGAUACUUUCUUAUCAUGAUAGCCAUGUAAAAUAAUGUCAUAUAAUAAAACUAUUUGUCUUU